AUUGAACGCUGGCGGCAGGCCUAACACAUGCAAGUCGAACGGUAACAGGAAGAAGCUUGCUUCUUUGCUGACGAGUGGGGGACGGGCGAGUAAUGUCUGGGAAACUGCCUGAUGGAGGGGGUUAACUACUGGAACCGGUAGCUAAUACCGCAUAACUUCGCAAGACCAAAGAGCGGGACCUUCGGGCCUCUUGCCAUCGGAUGUGCCCAGAUGGGAUUAGCUAGUAGGUGGGGUAACGGCUCACCUAGGCGACGAUCCCUAGCUGGUCUGAGAGGAUGACCAGCCACACUGGAACUGAGACACGGUCCAGACUCCUACGGGAGGCAGCAGUGGGGAAUAUUGCACAAUGGGCGAAAGCCUGAUGCAGCCAUGCCGCGUGUAUGAAGAAGGCCUUCGGGUUGUAAAGUACUUUCAGCGGGGAGGAAGGGAGUAAAGUUAAUACCUUUGCUUAUUGACGUUACCCGCAGAAGAAGCACCGGCUAACUCCGUG
rnacentral:rRNA from 1 species